GCUGGGUGUGGUGGUGCACACCUGUAAUCCCAGCUACUCGGGAGGCUGAGGCACUAGAAUUGCUUGAACCCAGGAGGCAGAGGUUGCAGUGAGCUGAGAUCGUGCCACUGCAUUCCAGCCUGGGUGACAGAGCAAGACUCUGUCUCAA
ensembl:misc_RNA Metazoa_SRP Metazoan signal recognition particle RNA